rnacentral:ncRNA from 1 species
UUUGGAAAAAGCCAAAUCUACCGUGAGGUAGAGACGGAAAGCCACGGAACUUAAAAAACGGCAGAUGGUGGCUAGUGAUUGAUGAAAAUAACUAAUUGCUGAUUGCUAUUUAUUAUUUUUAAGUUAGCCGGGUUGCCAAA